UGCUCCGCUCCAUCGCAUGGUGGGGUGGGAAAUGCUUUUGCGGCGUGGGAUGGGGUCGCGUCCUAUCAGCUUGUUGGCGGGGUGAUGGCCCACCAAGGCGUUGACGGGUAGCCGGCCUGAGAGGGUGACCGGCCACAUUGGGACUGAGAUACGGCCCAGACUCCUACGGGAGGCAGCAGUGGGGAAUAUUGCACAAUGGGCGCAAGCCUGAUGCAGCGACGCCGCGUGCGGGAUGGAGGCCUUCGGGUUGUAAACCGCUUUUGUUCAAGGGCAAGGCACGGUUUCGGCCGUGUUGAGUGGAUUGUUCGAAUAAGCACCGGCUAACUACGUGCCAGCAGCCGCGGUAAUACGUAGGGUGCGAGCGUUAUCCGGAUUUAUUGGGCGUAAAGGGCUCGUAGGCGGUUCGUCGCGUCCGGCGUGAAAGUCCAUCGCCUAACGGUGGAUCUGCGCCGGGUACGGGCGGGCUUGAGUGCGGUAGGGGAGACUGGAAUUCCCGGUGUAACGGUGGAAUGUGUAGAUAUCGGGAAGAACACCAAUGGCGAAGGCAGGUCUCUGGGCCGUUACUGACGCUGAGGAGCGAAAGCGUGGGGAGCGAACAGGCUUAGAUACCCUGGUAGUCCACGCUGUAAACGGUGGGUACUAGGUGUGGGGUCCAUUCCACGGGUUCCGUGCCGUAGCUAACGCUUUAAGUACCCCGCCUGGGGAGUACGGCCGCAAGGCUAAAACUCAAAGGAAUUGACGGGGCCCCGCACAAGCGGCGGAGCAUGCGGAUUAAUUCGAUGCAACGCGUAGAACCUUACCUGGGUUUAACAUGGAUCGGGAGUGCUCAGAGAUGGGUGUGCCUCUUUUGGGGUCGGUUCACAGGUGGUGCAUGGCUGUCGUCAGCUCGUGUCGUGAGAUGUUGGGUUAAGUCCCGCUACGAGCGCAACCCUUGUUCACUGUUGCCAGCACGUUAUGGUGGGGACUCAGUGGAGACCGCCGGGGUCAACUCGGAGGAAGAUGGGGAUGACGUCAAGUCAUCAUGCCCCUUAUGUCCAGGGCUUCACGCAUGCUACAAUGGCCGGUACAACGGGGUGCGACACGGUGUCGUGGGGCGGAUCCCUGAAAACCGGUCUCAGUUCGGAUCGCAGUCUGCAACUCGACUGCGUGAAGGUGGAGUCGCUAGUAAUCGCGGAUCAGCAACGC
rnacentral:rRNA from 1 species